CCUACGGGAGGCAGCAGUAGGGAAUAUUGGACAAUGGGUGCGAGCCUGAUCCAGCCAUGCCGCGUGCAGGAAGACGGCCUUCUGGGUUGUAAACUGCUUUUGCCAGGGGAUAAAAAGUCCCUGCGGGGAAAAUUGAAGGUACCUGGUGAAUAAGCCACGGCUAACUACGUGCCAGCAGCCGCGGUAAUACGUAGGUGGCAAGCGUUGUCCGGAUUUAUUGGGUUUAAAGGCGGCGCAGUAAGUCAAUUGUGAAAUACGGCAGCUUAACUGUCGAGGUGCCAUUGAUACUGGAGGACUUGAGUACAGACGAGGUAGGCGGAAUUGAAGGUGUAGCGGUGAAAUGCUUAGAUAUCGUCAAGAACACCGAUAGCGAAGGCAGCUUACUAGACUGUAACUGACGCUGAGGCACGAAAGUGUGGGGAUCAAACAGGAUUAGAUACCCUUGUAGUC
rnacentral:rRNA from 1 species